rnacentral:lncRNA from 1 species
GAGGCAGUGCGCUGUGGCUGGAGAGAAGGGCUGGCUUGAGGGGCUGGGGCACUGGCACAUGGCUAAUGAGAAUGCUGGAUUGCAGCCACAAGCAGCAUGGGAGGAGCCGGAGGGGAGUGGCCAGGGGUGUGUCACCUGUCAGAUGGGCGGGCUCUGCUCAGACCCCACACUGGAAGGCUUAUUGUGGAGGGAGGAAGAGGAGACACACCCACAAGACCAAAGAAGAUGAGGAGGUCCUCUUGUCUCAGCUGUCAGACCCUGAGGACAGUCUAGAUGAGAGCCUGGAGGAUGCCGUUUCACCCCAGACCUCACACACACGCAAACAGGAUCCAAUCCGCAGACGUCAGGGAGAGAGUGUUUACAACAUUGACAACAUCAUCAUCCCCAUGUCCCUGGUUGCCACUACCAAGGUGGAGAAACUUCACUACAAAGACAUUAUUACAACCAGCUGGAGAGUGGUUGAUAUCCCACCCCUGGAAGAGAGAGAGAGAGCUGCUGUGUGACGAGACCUUUUCACAGAGGCAUCUGGGGUGUGAGAAGAGAGAGAAACUCCGCUGGACCUCCUGGGAUAAGAGCAGAUGCUACAGACGCACCACCAGAUCUGGCAGUAGGAACGAUGGACCAGGUGUUUCUGUAUGGGACUCUGCUGUCAGGGAUGACAUCAGAGGUGACAUGAGCACUCACGUGGACUGGAGCUGCAGUCUGGACACGGACGCAGACAGAGCCUUAGAGGAGUGGGUGCCUCGACUCCCAUGGGAGAGUCAUGUGUUCCCGCUGUGUGAGGAUGAGGCUCUAAGGUGUCAUGAAGAGGAGCAGCAGGAGCCUCGCUGGGAGGAGAGAGAGAAGGCAGAUUCCACCAGCAGCACAGAUGACAGCUGCAGCUCUGUCCAGUCACCCCCAUUCUCAGCCCUGUCUUCAGCCCUGUCCAGUACAUCACCACCACCUGCUGGAGACGAUGUGAACAACACACUUACUGCAGUCACCUGAAAGGGCUUGGCUCUACCAUGGCACAGAUCCCUUCAGGAGUUUAGGAGACCCACAGGGACAGAGAUACAAGAGGAGGCCUGAACUCCCUGGAGUUUAGGAGACCCACAGGGACAGAGAUACAAGAGGAGGCCUGAACUCCCUGGAGUUUAGGAGACCCACAGGGACAGAGAUACAAGAGGAGGCCUGAACUCCCUGGAGUUUAGGAGACCCACAGGGACAGAGAUACAAGAGGAGGCCUGAACUCCCUGGAGUUUAGGAGACCCACAGGGACAGAGAUACAAGAGGAGGCCUGAACUCCCUGGAGUAGAUGUCACACGUUAUGUGUACCUCAUUUUAAUGUAUACUUGCUACAUUUCCUAAACACACUGAUAUUUUAUUUGGGUUCAAACGUUUUGGAGGAGGGUUUUUGAUUUCUUUAAAACAUUGAUUUGUUUUAUUCCUUUCAGUUCCUCUGCUGUAUUUUAAGGUUUUGGAUGGGAUUGUGUUGGAUAUUCAACAUGUACACAUUUAACGUUUUUACAUUUACCCUGACCUGCAUUCAUAUAAGAUCUGUGUACUAGUGUACAAUCGAUCGUAACCUUGGCUGACAAUGUACCAUAGAAUGUAAAUAGUUGUUGCCUGUUAUUUAUUUUACGUUUCAAGACGUCUGAUAAUGCAGUCUUAACAUAUACUUUUAUAUACACUACCAUUCAAAAGUUUGUGGUCACUUAGAAAUGUCCUUGUUUUUGAAAGAAAAGCAAAUUUUUUGUCCAUUUAAAAUAACAUCAAGUUGAUCAGAAAUACAGUGUAGACAUUGUUAAUGUUGUAAAUGACUAUUGUAGCUGGAAACAGCUGAUUUUUAAUAGAAUAUCUACAUAUGCCCAUUAUGAGCAACUAUCACUCCUUUGUUCCAAUGGCACGUUGUGUUAGCUAAUCCAAGGCUAAUUGAUCA